UAGGGAAUCUUCGGCAAUGGACGAAAGUCUGACCGAGCAACGCCGCGUGAGUGAAGAAGGUUUUCGGAUCGUAAAACUCUGUUGUUAGAGAAGAACAAGGACGUUAGUAACUGAACGUCCCCUGACGGUAUCUAACCAGAAAGCCACGGCUAACUACGUUCCAGCAUCCGCGGUAAUACGUAGGUGGCAAGCGUUGUCCGGAUUUAUUGGGCGUAAAGCGAUCGCAGGCGGUUUCUUAAGUCUGAUGUGAAAGCCCCCGGCUCAACCGGGGAGGGUCAUUGGAAACUGGGAGACUUGAGUGCAGAAGAGGAGAGUGGAAGUCCAUGUGUAGCGGUGAAAUGCGUAGAUAUAUGGAGGAACACCAGUGGCGAAGGCGGCUCUCUGGUCUGUAACUGACGCUGAGGCUCGAAAGCGUGGGGAGCAAACAGG
rnacentral:rRNA from 1 species